UACGGGGGGAGCAAGCGUUGUUCGGAUUUACUGGGCGUAAAGGGCGCGGUAGGCGGUCGUGACAAGUCACUUGUGAAAUCUCCGGGCUUAACUCGGAACGGUCAAGUGAUACUGUCGGACUAGAGUACAGAAGGGGCAACUGGAAUUCUCGGUGUAGCGGUGAAAUGCGUAGAUAUCGAGAGGAACACCUGCGGCGAAGGCGGGUUGCUGGGCAUUACCUGACGCUGAGGAGCGAAAGUGUGGGGAGCGAACAGG
rnacentral:rRNA from 1 species